rnacentral:rRNA from 1 species
CACGCCGUAAACUAUGAUUACUGGUUGUUUGCGAUACAUUGUAAGUGACUGAGUGAAAGCAUUAAGUAAUCCACCUGGGGAGUACGUCGGCAACGAUGAAACUCAAAGGAAUUGACGGGGGCCCGCACAAGCGGAGGAACAUGUGGUUUAAUUCGAUGAUACGCGAGGAACCUUACCUGGGCUUAAAUGAUUAGCGCAAGAUUUGGAAACAUUUUUUUCUUCGGACGCUUUUCAAGGUGC